CUGAUGAUGAAGAGAGAGGCAGUGGCAGAGGGGGGGCACCUUUUAUUUCUAUUUUUAAAGGGACAGGACACUAAUUCUACCCCACUUCAACCUUGAAUUCAGGGGGGUGGGGGGAAGGCGGCUGAGUUCCUUCCCCCACCUUCCAGCCCUGAGCCCUGAGAGGGGGAUUGAGCCUGAGAGAGGAGAAGGAGUUUCUUCUUCUUCGAAAACCCCCAUCCACGACUCCUACCCCCUCACCCCUCCAACUCGCCUCCCUCCCGAGCCCCCUCCACCCUCCUCCUCUUUGGCCGUGAGAGGAGGAGAGAAAGAAACCAAAAGCCUCUUAGCAACACAGACCCUUUGCUGCUGCUGUUGCUGCUGCUGCUGCUGUUGCUGCUGCUGCUACUGCUGCUGCUGCUACUGCUGCUGCUGCUACUGCUGCUGCUUGGCCCUGGCUGGAGACAUCUCACUACACCCAGGAGCAGCCACUUCCCCAGCUCUCCUCCUCCUCCUUCGCCUCCUCCUCCUCCACUCCCCCCCUUUAUUACCCUUUGUGUCAUCCUCCACAGCUCCAGGGAAGGCACUCAAAAGUGGGGGGCAGGAAAGAUGUACAUUGAAGAUGUCAGUUUCUACAUGUGGGAAGUAGACAUUGAAGGCUUUAUGGUUUACAGACAAGAUCUUUAGAAGUUAAGCACUAAAGAGAGAAGAGGUACUCCCUUAUAGGGACUCGUAAAGACGUAGAGCAUCUGGAAAUUAACUGCCUCCAUUACACUGCUGAGUCACACACAACGCUUGUUAUGUUUUCAUCACUUCUCUCCAGAAGGUUUCAGAAUCUCCUCUUCAACUACCUACAAUGAAG
rnacentral:lncRNA from 1 species